GAUGAACGCUGGCGGCGUGCCUAACACAUGCAAGUCGAACGAGGUAUUUUGAUUGAAGUUUUCGGAUGGAUUUCAAGAUACCGAGUGGCGGACGGGUGAGUAACGCGUGGGUAACCUGCCUCAUACAGGGGGAUAACGGUUAGAAAUGACUGCUAAUACCGCAUAAGCGCACAGUACCGCAUGGUACGGUGUGAAAAACUCCGGUGGUAUGAGAUGGACCCGCGUCUGAUUAGCUAGUUGGUGGGGUAACGGCCCACCAAGGCGACGAUCAGUAGCCGACCUGAGAGGGUGAUCGGCCACAUUGGGACUGGUACACGGCCCAGACUCCUACGGGAGGCAGCAGUGGGGGAUAUUGCACAAUGGAGGAAACUCUGAUGCAGCGACGCCGCGUGAGUGAAGAAGUAUUUCGGUAUGUAAAGCUCUAUCAGCAGGGAAGAAAAUGACGGUACCUGACUAAGAAGCCCCGGCUAACUACGUGCCAGCCGCCGCAGUAA
rnacentral:rRNA from 1 species